CCUGCUCUAGGGUGAGGUCCAGAUUCCCCAGGACCUGGGCUUGCCUAUCAGCCUAGAAUCUCUCUCACUAGUCUCCUCUCUGUAGUGGAUUAGAUGAAGGCCCCCAAAAAGACAAGCCCAGGACCAGUCCCAUGGCCUAGUGGUUAAGUUUGGCACACACUGCUUCUGUGGCCUGGGUUUGGUUCCUGGGCGUGGACCUAUGCCACUCCUCUGUUGGUGGCCAUGCUAUGGUGGCAUCCCACAUACAAAAUAGAGGAAGAUUGGCACGGAUGUUACCUCAGGGACAAUCUUCCUCAGCAAAAAAAAAAAAAAAAAGAUAUAUCCACAAUAUCCACAUCCUAACGCCUGGGCCCUGUGAAUGUCACCUUAUUUCGAAAAAAGGUCUUUGCAGAUGUAAUUAAGUUAAGAGUCUUGAGAUGAGGAGAUCAUCCUGGAUUACCUGGGUGGGUCCUAAAUCCAAUGACAAGUGUCCUUAUAAGAAGUAAAAGAGAAGACACAGACAUAGAGUAGAAGGCCAGUGAAGGUGGAGGCAGGGACCAGAAUAUACAGCCACAAGGAAUGCCUGGAGCCUCCAGAAGCUGGAAUUCCAGACGUGAGGAAGGAUUCUCCCAUAGUGCCUCUGGAGAGAGUGCCACCUGCUGACACCUUGAUCUCAGACUUGCCACCUCCAGAGCCGUGAGGAAAGGAAUUUCCGUUGUUGCAGCCACCCAGUCUGUGGUGAUUUGUCACGGCAGCCCCAGGAAGCUAACACCCUCCCCCACAGGGCUCCAGCCAUGCCACCUGGCCUGAGAAAGAACUACCAGACUCCUCAAAGCUGCCUGGAUCUCUUUCUGGACCUUUGCACAUGCUGAUCCUUCUGCCCAAAACAUUCUUCCAUCCCCUUAUUGUGCAACUCACUCCUAUGGUCCCAUCACUCCUGCUGAAAAGUCUUCUCUGCCUCCUCAGCCAGGCAGAGCACGUGUUUCUUGUCGGCUUCGAAUGCAGAGCUCUCCACUGCCCAGAGCUGCCUUCCUGUGGUGCAAACAAGGAGAAAGUGAAAAGCGACAUCUCUGUUCGUUGUGCUCCGUUGUCUGAUGGCUCCCGCCUCACCCACAG
rnacentral:lncRNA from 1 species